GAUGUUAGCACAAAGUCGUUUAUCUCGUUUAUUGAACAAACAACGAGGACAACAAUGUCGUUUUCUCUCUUUCGAAAUUCAUAAACAACAAAAUUGAAAAUUCUUUCACAAAAAUUACCAUAAAUUUUGACAGAAUUGGCGGUUAAAUUAUAAGUCUAACAGGCAAAUCGAAAACAAUCACAAGAUCUUAGGACAUACAUACCACAUCAACAUUUAGCAAGCAGUCCAUAAGAAAUUGCAAUCAAGAUAAAACCUUUCAACAGUUUAUUAAAUUUCUCCUUUCAUAUAAGAGCAUGGUUCGGAGGAUUAGAGUGCGUUUCAGCAACCAUCUAUAUAACAUAUAGUAUCGAGCUCCAAUUGCCACUGCUCCAACCACGGCAAAAGCUACGAGAACAGCGAUUUCGUCCAAUGAAAAUCUCCUCAAAAGCAGUGGGCAAGACCAAAGACAUAGGAAUGACGUUGCUACAACUGCAAUCAAUAAUACAAUCCUCCAAAUCUUUCUUAUCACAGUAGGCUUAUCAAGCAAUAUCGGCACAUCAUCAGGAAUGACGUUGCUACAACUGCAAUCAAUAAUACAUAAUAUUCAAACUCCUUCAUCGAUCCCAAUACGAUAAAUUUAAAAUUGUUAUGAUCCGGAUAUUACCUAUAUUUUCUUAUGAUUCCAUAUGAAUCUGGGAUGUAGAUCGUGAGUGUUCCAGCAUAAUUGUGGCCUCCAAUAUGAUAGCAAGCAGUAACAAAUACCUGAUUCGUCAAUCCUUCAGCCUCCUUUUUGAACUGAUCAAUGAGAAUACGUGCCGAAACACGAUGGCCUUCAUGUCGACCAUUAGUUGCACAUACAAAUACAUGGGAGCCACUCAACAGCUCUUGCACUCCGGAAGCCCAUGGUUUGUGAUUCACAAGGACAUCUUCAACAAAGAUGUCCACAUCCGACUCUUUCAAGCCCCUUUGAUCAACAAACAAAAACAACCUCAGAAUCACAAAAAGGGAAUUAGUCGUAAACUAAGCCGUUAAAUUCAAUUUAUAGAACUAAUUUCAGAAGCUAAAACAUAUCUAAUUAACUAUUUAAUUCAGUACAUUCAGCACAAUCUCGUAAUCAAAAGAGAAUUUAAAACAGAAAUUACUUCAGUCUAAACUAGGAAUGGGCCUUCGAUUAUGAAUUAAUUACGGUUUGCCAUUGGGUGUCUUGGUGUGGGCCGUGCUUAACAGUUGGGUUGGGCUGCUGCAUUUAGGCCCAGGGUGUAGUUCUCACGCGUUUUUCUUUAAAAUUUUCUUUAUUUCUUUAUUUCUUUAUUUCUCAUCCUUUAAACUUUGUAUUUUCUUUAAAAUAUUUUUCUUUUUGGUGAUGCAGCAGAUAGAUGAACAUGUUCAAAGGGAAAUCAUGAACCACAGAUCACUGCAUCCGAAUAUCGUUUGAUUCAAAGAGGUCAGUGAUCAUAAACUAUUUUCAUUUUGUAUUUUAAGAAUGAAUUUGGCAAGUUCUGUUUGAAUUUUGUGUAAGUAUCUGCUGAGGGUGGGUGGAUGAAGACAGAACACACUACAUUUGGCCUCUGGUGUGCUUAAACUGGUACGGGGGAUGGCUAGACUUUGAGCCUGGGAUGCAGUAGGACUAAGAGAAAUGCCCUACCCACCGGGGCAAUCCACCACUUGCAGAAUUGUUGUCAAAAUAACUCUGCUAAAAAUAUGAGCUAUACUUCCUGCACUUCGUUUUUAAUGUGAAGUGGAAAUAGUCUUUAGAGUGGCUUAUAUGAGAUAAUUGAUAGAGGUUUGUGUUUAAGACUUGAGAGUAGCGCGGUGUCUUUCUUGCUGGUUCUGCUCACACCACCUCAUCUAGCCAUUGUGAUGGAGUACACGGUUUGGUGAGAACUCUUCGAGAGAAUAUGCAGUGUUGGCAGAUUUAGCGAGGAUGAGAUAAAGUAGUUUCAAAUGCAGAGAAAAUUUCGUUGGAAGUGAUUUUAGUGUAGAGUCUCAAAUAUGGGAUCUCUGAAUGUCCCCUGAAAUGGAAUCCAUCUCGAUUUUCGUUUAGUUUCAUAUGGGAAAAGUUAGGUCUGAAGCAUUUUUACAGUCAGUCAUGACUCAUAAUAUAACUAAAACUUACUUUUUCGAUUUAAUUGUUGUUUUGCAUCAGGCAAGGUUUUUCUUCCAGCAGUUGAUAACAGGAGUUAGUUGUCAUUUGAUGGUCUGUAAUUUGGCACUUGUAGCAAGGAAAUAAUUCGUUUCAAUAGUAUACGACUUAGUUUUAAUAGUAUAUGACUCAGUUUUUGAAUAGCACUUGGAUGGUUUUCGAAUAACGGUAUUACGACUUAGUUUUCUCAAUGCUUAGUUUUCUAAAUGCCAAUAACAGCUCUAGAUUUUGUCUUAGUUUUCUAAAUGCCAAUAACAGCUAUAAAUUUUGUCUCAAGUGGAGUAUUCUUACUAAUGUAGCAUUUUGUUGACACAUCAGUAUGUUUUUUUUUAUUGUUUCUCUGCUUGAACAGAGAAUUGUUAGCGUCCGGGUGGGAACGUGGGUCGACUCAUUUUUUUAGUCUCUCCGUCGUAAGCAGUUUUAGAUGGCAUUCUUCAAUGUAGCUAUAGGUAAGACAACACUCUCAGUAUUCCAUAAUCAAACCACCUUGUGAUUUUUUUUAUCCACCAAGUUAAGCUUUUAUGUGCCAUCUUGAAUAGUUAUAAGUUAUUGCUCCAGAUUACUCCAGUGCGACAUUGUUGUUCUCUUCCUUACCUCUUAAGCUUGCUUAAUAUACUUAAUUCUUAUUACUGUUGUAAAAGGUCGUACCCAAUGCACAAGGCUCCCGCUUUACGUAGGGUCUGGGAGAGGUAAAUGUCGGCUAGCCUUACCCCCAUUUAUGGAGAGGCUGCUCCCGAUCUUAUUACUGUUGUAUUGUUAAGAAAUACUCAAUUGCGGUUUCAGUUCAUCGUUAUGAAUCGGAUUAAAAUUAACCACUCAUUGGUUAAUUAUCUAAAUCCUAUAAAUUCGGAUUAAUAUUAAAGCAACUACAAAACAAAAAGCUCAAGAAAUCAAUGCGAAUUUACCUGUAUUUGAUCAUUUGUGGGAAAAUCAACACAUCGCCGUCCGAAAACUCAGUUCCUUCGUGUCCUUCAAUUACUGUCAGCAACGUCUAUCAAAAACCAAGAAAAAAGUGAGUAAUGAAGUCAACUCAUCUGAAAACCAGAACUCAAUAGCUCCAGGAAAUAAGAAGCACUGAGAAAAAGCAAUCAGAAAUGGUGAUGAAUUGAGCUGGAAAAUGAACCUUAACGAUGAUGUCGUUCUUGCGAGCUUCGAGAGCAGAUGCGAAGAACUUAGGGAGAGGAUCGGACUCAGAGCCUUCGAUGCGCCAUGGCCAGGCCUCGGGGGUCUUGUAGCAGAGGAAAAUAUGUUGUGUAUCGUCAAGAGUGUCUACACAAGACUCAUAUGGCAUAGUCACAUAGUUGUCCCAAUUAGUACCACCAUCAGACAAAUCCCAUUUUACAAUAUCCACUCCUAUUUUGUUCACCGUAAUUCUAUUAUCUUGUCCACAAAAUUGUGCUUGUACAAGAACCGUGUCGCCGCCUUUUAGAUUGAGCUUCUUGUUUGAAAGAUUUCCCAACCAAAGACGAUAUUCAGGGGAAGCAAUCACGGUGUCCUCCAGUGGUCGGUUGCGUCGGAUGCAUAGGAUGCGAUGGGAAGCAAUUACGGUGGCCUCCAUUGGUCGGAUGCGAAAAUAAGUUCGCUGGGUAGAAUUAAUAACAUGAAUUUGUAGAGAACCAGUAGAGUAGUAGAAGUCUGAAGAAUAAACGAUGCCCAAAGCCAACCCUCCUAUAUAAUCAAUACUUGGCGGCACUUCAAAUUUGACAGUUACAUCCUUUCUCGCGACAUAGGCUAACCGGUUAGGAAUAUCAUUUCCAGAGAGAAAAAUUCCACCAAAUGCAUUUUUCUACAACAUGGGGUGCAAAGUCAGUAUAAGCAACAAUAUAAAAAGCAGAGAGAGAGAGAGAGAGAGAGAGAGAGAGACAGAGAGACAGAGAGAACCAUACCGUUUGGAGGUUCUCCUUGAAAGUAGCAGUGAGACUGGUACACCCUUCCAUAUGAAGUGAAUCCAUGUAGUCCAAUGAGUUCUCCAAGUUUGGAAUAUCUUUGAGUUUGCGGCAGUCUUUCAGUUCCAAUACCCUCAUUUUCGACAUCUCUGAAAAGUCAGACAUUAUUUCCAGUGCAGUGCAGUAAUUCGCUUGCAGUACACACAAACUGUUUGGCAAAUCUGGGAUUGCCUUAAGGUUUGUGCAAUUAUUUAGACGUAAAACCUGAAGCUGAGAAAGGCCACUGAGAAUGGGUAGCCAAUUAAAACCAUUCCCACAUAGAACUAAAACUGUUAAAGAAGAUAGACUCCCAAUUGUUUUGAGAACGGCACCAUCUGUUAUAUUGCAGUCGCUGAGAUAUAAUUCCUCAAUCAUCUUCAGUUGUGCUAAAAAAUGGUAACCCCCACACAAACCCUUACAGCCAUUGAGGUCCAAUGCCUUGAGAUGUUGGAGUUUUGAAAAGUCUGGUAAUUCAGUCAAGUUAUGGCAGUCAUUAAGUAUGAGAUACUUCAACUCCUUAGGCAACUGUUACUCAAAAAGAGAAAACAACAAUAAAAAUCCAAAUAAAUAAAAGAGAGAAUGCAUGACGAUGACUGAUGUUGAUAUUUACAAGGACAUUGAUAAUUAUAUCGUACCAGCUUCGAAUCCUCCCAAACUCGUACCAUCUUGCUGUUGCUCAGGUUUAAACAAACUAGGUUUCGUUGAUCAAAAUUUGCUGGUAUGGCUUCAAGAGGAAAUCCAUCCCAAAUCAACAAUCUUAACUCCUUGGAAAGAUGUUUGUAGCUUCCAGUCAGCUUUACAUUUAUCAGGUGGAGAAAUUUCAGACGCCACAUCUUCUUAAACGCUUCUGUACGGAAGCUUUGCUUGUCAUCAGAAUCUCCUGUGUGUAGUCCUUCUACUGCUUCUGUUCCCUGUUAGAGAGAGAGAGAGAGAGAGCAAAAAAAAAUAAGAAAAGGAUAAUAUUCACAUGAAGCAGAGCCGUGAAUUGGAUGAGUGAACUACUAGAAAGGUAGGGCAUACAACAUAAUUAUGUAUUUUCUCUUUGGAAUUACAGUGGAUGAAAUCCUUUUCUUUUCUUUUUCUUUUUUCGUAAAAUAUAUUAUGUACGACAUACAUCAUAUAUAUGCGGAUAUCCGUAUGUACUUCUCUUUCUUUACAUGUACUUAACAUAAUAUCUUUUUAUUGUAAAAGUACUUACCGAUUCAUUAUUGAGCACGCUUUUUGCAUCUUUAAUAUUCCACAAUCGACUACGUUUUCCCUCCAUAGGAGAUUCUGCACGCACAAUUUCUCUUCCCAUAUCUCGAAUCAAAUCAUGCAUCUUCAAUGUUUUAUAUGUUUUAUUUUCAAUAUAUAAGAGACAUCGUUUGCAGAGUAUGGCAAUUUCUGCUUCUACAGAAAAAUGAUUACAACCAUCCAAUAUUGCCGUGACCACAUGUACAGGCAGUCCAAUAAAGAAAUUAGAUAUGUCAAGGAACACACCCUUCACAUGAUCAUCACAUAGUCCAUCGUAGCUUAAUUUAAGCGUUUCAUGAAUUUUUCCAUUUGGAAUAUUUCUCAAUUUAUCCAAUGUACCUUCCCAUAUGGUUUUACUCUCUUCCGUAGCCAACAAACGACCAACAACUUUAAGAGCUAGGGGCAAUCCUCCACAAUAAUCAACAAUAUCUCUUGCCAAUUCAAUAUAUUCGUUAUAUUUUUUAUCGAGAUAAUCAUUUCCAAAGGCAUGCCAACUAAAGAGCUCAAGAGCUUCUUUCUUUGUCAUUGCUUGUGCCUUAUAUUUUUUAUCCACCUUUUGUAUAUUCAGCACUUGCUCAUCUCUUGUUAUUAUAAUAAUUCUGCUCCCUGGACCAAACGAUUCAUGUUUUAUUGCCAAUUUAUCUAACUGGUCUGCAUCAUCUAUGUCAUCAACCACGACAAGUACCUUUAUCCUUCCAAGUCUUUUCAUGAUCUCUUUGGUCCCUUCGGCAACACUGCUUAUCUUAAUGUCAGGCUGUUUUAAAAUAUCUCGAAGAAGUUGUUCUUGCAGACACACCAUCUCUUUCUUUUUACUCCUCACAUCUUCAAGGUAACAUUGACGACUAAAACUCUGCUCAUAAUUGCUACAAACUGCUCUGGCAAGUGUUGUUUUACCUAUACCGCCCAUACCAUAAAUUCCAAUUAUUCGAACAUUAGGUGAACCUCCAACGUCUAAGUAUUCAGUACUGAAUUCUUGCACGCGAAAAGCCAUUCCAACUGAGUGCUUGUCUUCUUUAAAGUCUAUGGUUUUCAGCCGUCCCUUGACGUCCCCAACAAUUUUCUCGAUAAACACCCAUUCACACCUACGAGUAGAAAUUCCAAAUUACAAGAGCCAUACUAAAUGCCUUAUUCAUAAUGACUAGAUAUUUACAUGUUGAAACAGAUUUGAAUAAACUGGAUUAAUUGAGCUCAAUUCAACCACGUAUCUAAUCUUUAAUUAUAAUGUGAAUACAUUAGAUCACUGGUGAUUGGACUAUUAUGCAAUUGUAGCUUUCAGUAAUAUAAUUAAGAAUCCAUUAGAAUUGGUAUUUUAAUUUGAUAAAAUGUGGAGCAUUUGUCCUUCACACACCCAUAAAAAACAAAGCAUGUACCUUGCGUUUCACUUCCUUAAUGUCGACGAAAAUUCUUAUGCAAAUGCUCUACCUUUUAUAUAAUUCAAGAUCCUUGGUAUUAAUAAUAUCAUUAAUUAUUUUCAAUAAUAAAAUAUUUUUUAUUUUUAAAUAUAUUCAUUUAACGUUAAAAAUGUUACAAUUAGUAUAUUUAUAUUUAUGGCUAAAUUUUUUAUCAUAUAUUUUUAUUUUUAGUUUGUACCUUUUUUUAAUUUGCAACCGUUUUUUAAUUUGUAUCAAUUUUCUUUUCAGUUUUAAUUUGUACCCAUAUAUUAAUUUCUUUUUGUAUCCAUAUUUUAUAAAGUUUUAUUUGUAUUUGUACCCAUAUUUUUUUUAUUUAUUUCUACCCAUUUUUAAUUUUGCUAAAUGUACCCAUGCUAAUUAUAUGCACCAUUCAUGUAUAAUUUUUUUCAAAUUUUUAAUCUUAAAAUGUACUCAUUCUUAAAUAUACCAAUUCGUUAUAUGUAAAAUGUACCAUUUUUUAAUAUAAAAUCUAUUCAAUUUUUUUCUAAUUCAUUUUUAAACUUAUAUGGGUACAUUCUUUUUUCUUUGAUUUGAGAAUGUAUCCAUGUUGAGUUUAAUUGAAGAAAUUUACUAAUUUUAUUAAGCUUAAUAUCUUUUUUUUUGGUGAUUUUGAAGAAUGUACCCAUGUUUAUAUAUAUAUAUACACACACACACAUACACACACAAUAGUAUAUUUAUAUUUUAAUAUUUUUAAUCCCACAAAUUAUGGUUUUUUAUUUAAAAUCUCAUUAAUAUAAACAACUAUAAAUUUCAAUUUUUAAUUUAAAAAAAUAUAGCAACGUCAUAAAAAUAAAUUACCACAUUAAUUUCAGGGUCUUAGAUAAAAAAUUGAAAACCAACAAAAUUUUAGUCAAAGAAUAUUCAUAGGUAGGGACCGCAUCCAAAGUCUCUUUGUACGAAUUGUAAUAAAUUUUUAUGUAGGGGCCAAAAUUACAGUUCUAUCAUAGAUCAAAGAUCAACAAUCCAAUUUUUCUCAUCACAUGUAAAAUCAGAUUCAAUGCCUUAAUUAUAAUAUCUUAAUUUUGGUUGAUUAGUGAAAUACGAUGAUACGAAAAUUGAAGUAGACAAAAAAAAAAAAAUACCCGUCGGCCGUGGUUUUGAGAUUCCAGCCGCUCAAAUCUGCAGAAGCCUUAAGAUCCUCUCUCCACUGCUUGACCUCGUUUGGAUCUUGAUCGCUUUCAUGCUUCCGAAAUGCUUCCUCAAAACUACCACCCUGUCUCCUGACUUCAGAAGGGUCAACGUCGUAGAAUAUUGGACACACUGUCUUCCCCUCUUGAUCUUCUCGGCACCUCAUGAUCUUCGACAGCUCCCUCAGGCACCAUCGGGACUCCGCGUACCUCUUCGAGAAGACGAUGACAGCGAUUCUUGACCCUUCGAUUUCUUGGUCUAGUUCUCUCUGUAUGUUUUCCCCCCUUGUGAGCUGGUCGUCCAUAAACGUGUUAACUCCGGCUUUGCAUAACGCACUGAAGAGGUGGCCUGUAAAGGUUUUGCGGGUGUCUUCACCUCUAAAGCUCAGGAACACUUCGUACUUCCAGCGGUUUGAGCUCCGCGAGGAAGACGAAGAGGCGGCAGCGGCGGCUCCAUGGGCGGAGCUGCUGGUAUCCAUUGCAGCCUGUAGAAGUGCAGUUUGGCUUUCAAAUAACCAAAGUCAAGUAUUUCCCCAGAUUCCCAGUCUCGGUGGCCCUUAUAAAUUUGUCACUGCCGUCCAUAACGCGUGAGUGUUUUCCCCCCACAGUUUAAUUUGUAUAAAUGUUACCAUCAAAUUUAAAAAAAUAAAUAAAAAAAUGUCUAACUUCUUUACGAUGCAAUUUCCUUUUGUAGUUUUCUGAGAAAUCUGCCGCCCAACUUUGGCCAGUUAACGACCUUGUUGUAUUUUAACUUUAAGGGUGGUGCGCAGGCCGGUGGACGUAAGAACGUAAGAAUCAAUGGGAAGAGACCUCAUCUCAUUAUUCUGAAUCUGAUUGCCGUUUUCUUGGCGCUUCUCCUCAAUUUUCUUACUUUCUCCUCCAUUUGGAAGCUUCUGGUCAUUAAUUUUUUUCAGCUUCAUCCGAAGAUGCUCCCAUUUGGCCCCUGUAAGGAAUGAAAUUGAAUUUCGUGUUCAGCCAUUUAAAGAUUCAACUCUAUGUUUCAUCAAUACCAAUCAAGUAAGGACAGGUAUGAUCAAGCUUAAUAAACAAUUUGACAACAGUGCCCACUUGACCCUGUCCCUCCCUUCCCCAAAACCACCUCUGGUUUGGUUUAUCUAUAAAAAAAGAGUUGUUUGAUUUGGUUCAUACGAGUUGUUUGAUUUGGUUCCUCAAUGUUAAUGUAACUCCUUAUCAAUAAUCUAUCAUACAACACUAGUCCAAAACGACCAACAAGGAAAAUUUCAGAGUAAACAAGGAAAAUUUCAAGGUGUCAAUCAACUCGACAACUAGUCCAAAACAGACUAAAUUAGCUCAAUUCGAGACUUCUUAAAUUGAAAUGGGAAAAUCAUAAACUCAUCAAUAAACAUGUGUGGCUGUGAGUUUCCAACGCCACACUUAGCUGCUAAGUGUUCUAAGAGUUCACCAUCAGAUGGAUCGAACUUCACACCAAGUGGUAAGCCAGGCCAUUCCGAUAAAACCUACACAAGUGGAGUUGCAGAAGUACUUAAAUGAAUAAAAAGCUUAACCUAUAAGCUGAAAGUUUUGGACAACAUAUAAUCAUUUGCAUAUGAAUAGAACUAAAAACCCAGCUUACAUCACUGUUGUCUAUAACAAAAUGGCAAUUCGGGCAUUCACGAUUUGCCCCACAGUCUUUGAUUGGACACGCAGACGAUUGAGAAGCAUUCUUCACUUUGUUUGCAAGUCCUCUGCUGUUAAUCAGCCAAGCCCUACAGAAACAUUACACCAUAAGCCACAAAAUUUCAUCACAGAAGCAAUUUUAUCUAGAAUCUAAAGAAGCUAUGACCAACAGAAAAAACAACCGAACCCAAAUUAUCAUCCAUUUCACAUUCCCAGUACAAUUGAAGAGGGCGAAAACUGAAAUGGGUUUCUCAGGAAAAACACACAAAUUCACAAGAGAAUUAACAAAAACGCUGAAUCAAAUAUCAAUCAAGCAUCCGUAUAGUCAUAUUUAACUACAGAAAGUAAAAUUAAAUAUCAAUCAAGCAUCCGUAAUGAAUCAAAUAUCAUUACACAUUACAGAGCUAGAUUGAAUAUUCCUGUUUAAUGGGUUCCCCCCAAAAUUAAAAUUUAAAUACAAAUCUAGCAUCUGAACACUUCAAAAAGCAAACAACUUUCGAAACAGUAUUUUCAUCCGAAUAAAACCCAGAGACCAAAAACUAAACAAGAAUAAAUUAUAUGGGUUGACGAAGCUGGGAAAAUCUGUAUAGAGGUUUCUCAGCUCCCAAUCAAAAGAAAGUUUCCAGAAUUUCGUUUAUUAUUUUUUAAUAAUUGCUAUAUUAAAUAAUUAUAUUGUCCGCCCAUAUUUUCAAAUUGAGUAAAUUGUAGCUAUGGUCCCUGAACUUUACUCAAAUUGGAGCAAUGGUCCUUCAACUAAAAAUCCAUUACCAUUGGUCCUUCAACUCAUUAAAACGUGCAGCUAUGGUCCCUCAACUAAAAAUCCAUUACCUUGGUCCCUUAAUUUUAAUUCAACUGGAGAAAUGGUCCCUUAACUUUAUCCCAAUUGUAGCUAUGGUCCUUCAAACAUAACUCGGUUUGACAAAUUUUUUUAAGUAGUUGACGAAAAUGACCAUAAUUACACACUUUGAUGAGUUGAGGGACCCUAAUUAAAUAAAUGGUUAUUCCAACAUAACAUAUUUUGACAAAAUUUUGAAGAAAUUAAUGAAAAGGACUAUAGCUACAUAUUUUGAUAAGUUGAGGGACCAAUGGUAAUGGAUUUUUAGUUGAGGGACUAUUACUCCAAUUUGAGUAAAGUUCAGGGAUCAUUGCUACAAUUUACUCUUUCAAAUUUUCAUCACUGACGAGUGAAAGGGCUCUCACCUUGCCAUUUCUUCGAGGUCGGAGACGAUGUUUCAACCAAGCGCAUUCCGAUUUAUAGAUAGAGAGAGAGAGAGAGAGAGAGAGAGGGAGGGAGGGAGAGGGGUCCCUUUCUGCACUGGAUUAAGUUAAGAGCAACUCCACCCAUAGAGCCCUCCCCCUGGCAAUCCACUAUUCAAUCCACCCUAUUGAACAGUAACUGCCUUAAAUGAAUAGUAAUUACCAUUAAUGAACAGUAAUUGCCAUUUACAUCUCCACCCUUGGAACCCUCUCCCCUGGCAAUAAGCAAUAAAAAUAAUAGUUUUUUAUGUUUGUUUAAAUAAUAAAAAAUUACAAAAGCUAUAUAUAUCUCUCUCUCUCUCACACAAAAAAAAUACAAAAAUACAAAACCCUCGGGCCACAGGCCCGUCGACUCCCCACCCCCCUUUCACUCGACCUCCCACCCUCACUCGGGCCCUUCCUCGCUGGAUUUGCUCCCACCGGCCCGAGGGCCCUUUCUCCUCGCCUGACGCCCGAGCAACCAGCAAGGCUGGAGUUGCUCUAAAGUAGCUAGAGACAGAGUGCGUGUGUGUGAGCGGGAAAAUCCAGCUUCGGACCCAACGAGCCGUUACCUACAAGCCUCAGGUUCGGGUACAGAGUCUUUGGUCGAUAAGAAGGCGGACCCACCGCCAUAGGCUGUCUCAGUGGGGUCUGGGGUUGACGAAACCUAAGUCCGAGGCUGAGGUUCGGAGAGAACGAAGGUGUCCUGUCGUGCUUUUGGUGGGGGUUCGAACACCGAGUAAAGUGUAAUUAUGGUAUUUUUUCUGUCGGACUUGCUGACUGACUACCGUGCUCCCCAAGCUACAUACAGAAACGUUUUGGAGACUUUUGUGGAUUCUCGAUUUUGCCCCUCGAUAUUGAUGUGACUCGACUGUUUGUCUUGGGCAGAAAGUAGGCUUGGUAAAUAUAAUAACAUAUAUAUAUAUAUAUAUAUUUAAUGAGAGACAUCAACUGUCGUUGUAGUAUAGUGGUAAGUAUUCCCGCCUGUCACGCGGGUGACCCGGGUUCGAUCCCCGGCAACGGCGAUUUUUUGAGCUUUUCUCCUUCCUUUUAUUUUUUAAUUUUUUAUUUUUACAUAACUUUUGGUUUGUAAACUUUGUGUACUGGAUUUAAAGGGUAUCUGCGGUCAUCUUCACAGUCCGGAAGGAAGACCACGUCCAUUAUUUGUAAGAGAGUUUGAACUCGACAUCGAUGGUUGAGAUCGAGAUUACGAAAUGCUCAGAAGAGAUUUUAUUGAACAGGAGCGAAGGCUUUUGGAUGAACCCCUUAAUUUUACAACGUCAAUACAUCACAGCAACCCAACUCCACAACUCUUAAAAAUUCCUUUCCAUUUGAUCUCAAUCAAACCAAACUAAACCUAACGACUAUCCGAAUUUCAACAGUAACAUCAGACCGUAGGCCGCUAAAUGAAAAAUUACUUUUUUUCCCUACAAGUAGUUGUCUACUAAUAUUUCGGGGGGUGCCUUAUUGAGCUUUCCUAAGAGAGUAAUUAGUAAACAUUUGGAAGGUAAAGAUUACAGCUUGCAGGAUCAAUAACACUGGCUAAAGCAGGAGAAAAAACCUUUAGGUUUGUCUUCCAUGUGCGUGUUGGAUUUAGGGGUUUCACCCGAGUCGUUGUGAGUAACCAUCAAAGAACUAGUACCAGGCGACUCUGGUGGGAGUACAGCGUUCUCAGAUUUGAAUAUCCGUUGAGGGAUAGCGGGUGCUGGUGCCGAAAUAGUAGAGAGGUAACGCAGCAGCAUCUGUAUAAUUUGGGUGAAGUUGGGCCGGUCAUUGGGAUCCUCUUUCCAACAUGAAGUUACAAUCAACGCCAAAUCCUUGGGGAGGCUAUCAGCACUCGGCCUCACAUUCUGAAACAAUUCGUAUAACCUCAUAUUACGAAGCUUAAAAAGUACCAAGUUAUGAAUAAGAUUAUUGUGGUAUUUUGUUACCUUAAAAGCAGCUGCAUACGCAGCUUGUAAAUUCGACAUGCCUUCGAAAGGCAGCUUGUUAUGGAUGAGUUCCCACAAUACAAUUGCAAAGCUGUAAGCGUCCACCUUAUGAUUGUAAUGCUUCUUUUCUCCAUGUCGUAAUGUAACUGUGCUGUAAAGCUGCCACCAAAUACAAAGGUGGAAGAUUAAUUUGCUGAUACCAAACAAAAAUUAAUUUGCUGAUAUCAAACACACUCACAAGACAUAUGAGAAACAAAUUCUCAACCUUUGAAUGACCGAGUUAAGUACCGUACCUCAGGAGCCAUCCACCGGUAUGUCCCAGUUUCGGCGGUCAUCAUCUCUGUCAAUGACUCUUCUCUUGCUAAGCCAAAGUCUGCAAGUUUGACUGUUUUUUGGUCGGCAGUCAAGAUCAGAUUCUCUGGGAAAAGGACAGGAUAAAAGUGUAAGAUUGUGGAACAAACCCUGUUUUCGGAAAUAAGCUUCGCCCUAACAAUAGUUGCAAUUCGUUUUGUGAUGCUGAAGUUAUCUCUGCUACGGAAGUCUUCAAUCAUGCUGAAUACUAAACUAUCAGCGACUAACACUAAAUAGCAAUCCUUCGGAUUUCCAUAUUUGAGACAUGCUUACACAUAGACUUCACUUUAAUCCUUCUCGGUUCUUCUAUGUAGGCGUUCCCUUCUUGACUCUCCUAACGUCGAGCUAAGUGACUUCGUUCAAAGGUCAACCCUUAUGUUAAACAAUGAACUAAACCACAUACCAGGUUUCAGGUCACAGUGAAUGAUACCGUGGGAGUGUAAGCACUCCAUAGCACGAGCAAUAUCAAGCGCAAACCCAACUGCCAUGCACGUGUCCAAGCACCUUGGCCGCAUACUGAACAAGUAUUUGCGCAAAGUUCCGCCUAGAAGAAGCUCAGUCACUAUGACCAUGACAGGUUCUUUGCAGGCACCAAUGAACUGGUAAUACAAAGUUAAAAAUCCCCCAUCAGAUAUCGCAAAUACGCCUAUUUAGUAAUCAAAAAUACUUAUCGAAAACUAGACAACAACCUUCACUAAGUUUUUGUGCUGCACUUUCGACAUCAUUGCCACUUCCCUCGCAAACCGCGCUUCUCUCUUGGCAAUCUCCUCGAUGAACAAUUUUUACAGCAACAUUUUGAUUCUUAUAUCUAGAACAAACAAAACACAACAAACAAACAGAUUGACAACACAACAGAACAGAACAUCAUCGUUGUAACUCGACAAGAAAAACACAUAUUCGGCAUCGUAAACACCAUAAAUGCCCAACACCAAAGCAAGUUUUGAUCUUUGAUUAGUUCUGCUAAAACCCAACUCAAUUUUGCAUUUAUGUUUAACAAUAUACAAGAGAUAAUAAUAAAUUGCUAAACUUGAGAGACCAGAAAUUCAGAAUCUAAGACAAAACAAACACAGAGGUUGUACUGAGGUUGACUUACUUUCCUUCGUACACUUUGGCAAGCGCGCCUUCCCCAAUCCUCGGACCAACAAAAAGAUGCUUUGGAUCGAUCAGCCACUUGGCGUCCAAAUCGAAAUCCGCAACUGAGUAAACCCCAUUACCAGAUCCCAUAAUUUUCCCUCUCUAAACUUCUAAAACAAGAACAACAUACACUGACUAAUUAACCAAACAAAGGGUACCCUUUAUUUGUAGGACUACAUUUGAAGUAAAGAUGGAAGCUUUGGUCUGGAUAAAAAUGGAAAAAAAAGUAAUAAAGUAAGGAGACUUUGUAUGAUUGAAGAGGGAGAAAGAUGAAGACUUUCUAUUUCUAUAAUAAAAGGACAUGCUUGGUACUGUAGGUUUCGGAAAACAGACCCAUCCCCAGGAUCACGGUUGAGGAUCCUACAAAUCUAGGAUGUGCCUUUUGUUUGGGGGGCAAAGAAUAAAAACCCAGAGGCACCCACCAACAACCCUACAAUAUAAAAAUGGCCACUGAUGAAAGCUCUAUCAGUGGGAGUGGAUUAGAUUUAUUAUUGGGAAUUGGGGAGAGAGAGGAAAUCGGAAGAAGAGCAAGCAGAUAGAGUUGAGCAAGGCAGAGGAGGAUGAAACUGAGAGGAUCUAGAUGGAGAUUUGGGAACUUGGUGGCGGCGACGGUGGCGGUGGGUGAGUGGGAAGUGAGUUCAGUUGAGAUUAAUUUAUUGGCCUUCUCCGCGUGUGGAAUAUUAGGGCCCGUUUGUUUGACAGGAUUAGGGAGGACUGGACUGGACUAGACUACAGUCCCUUGUUUGGUCUGCACCAGGAUUAGGUUUAAUGGGAUUAGGUCUGACUCGCUAGGAUUAAACCCCUCACUAGGAGUUCUAAGCGAAGCACCCCGAUCACCCUCGGACUUGUAAGACCUCCUGCGCUCCUGCGAGAGAGAACCUCGCUCAACCUCGAUCCUCAACGUGCUCCCUCCUUGCCCUGCUCCCUCAUCGUCGUCCUCCUCAUCGUCGUCCUCUUCAUCAUCAUCUCUGCGUCUUGCUCGCCCUCAACUCCAUCCUGCUCGCCCUCAUCUGGUAAACUUCGUAUCCGACAUUAUAUUUUUUUUUGCAGAUCGUGAUAUUACUGGGCUUUAUUUGAUUUAGGUGUUUUGAGUUUGAGAAAUUUUGAAUUAUAGACCUCUGCACUUGAACAAAUUAGGUUUUUGAUUUUUAGGGUCAAAUUGAGAUUAGAAUUUGGGGUUUUCACAUUUUAUGCCAUUUUGAGUACCAAAAUGAUGAUAAUCAUCACGAAAUUGCUGCUGUAAACUUCGAACGCCACUGUUACUUUUUGGGUAUGUUUCUGUCCUACUUUUACCCAGUUUGAAUAUGUAUUCAUAGUUGUCGGAUUAAAACGUAUAUGUGGUUUUUGGGAAGUGAUGAGUAAAAUGGCUAGAAUUUUAGGAAGCUUUGCGCUUCUGGUUUUCAUCGGAUAGAGGGAACACGAAGAGGGAGAGGAAAAGAGAAAAUAUUAAGUUUAAUUGUAAAUUUUAAAUUUGUUUUUUAUAGUGUUAGUGGAGGAACCCAUCUGUAGUAUUUUAAGAGAAGAUGAGAAGAUGUAAACUGCUGGACAUCCUUAGCAUUUCCCAUGUUCUUUAUUAAUUUGAGAGUGAUCCUGUGAAUAAUUUUGGCUUUUAGAUUUGUUUGAAUCUUUUUCUGAUUCAACUUGCAGGUUUAGUAUCAUUUUACAGCUUUCUACAACUCUUUGUUCUUUCUCUCUUCCUUUAUGGUUAGACAGCAUCGAAUAUCUAUCAGUAAUCAUGUCCAGACUGACUGCGUUCAUACAACUUGUGCUGUUUAACUAAUGAAUAUAAUUUCGGAACUAAUAUGCCAUGCCUAGAUGAUUGAAGUGAGUAUCUUAGAUGAAUCAUCCAUGAUUGAUGUGAGUAUCUUAGAUGAAUCUAUCCACCUUGGGAACUUGCAAGAGUUGAGUUCAAGAUGUCCGGAUGCUUUUUCGUAUAUAACCAAGGUCUAAAACACAGCCUUAACCUUAUUCUUAAAAGGAGGUUUGUUUUUUGUAUGUCACUAAGUUAACUGCAUAAAUCCAAAUAUCAAGACCAAAACAAAUCAUAGGGUUACAUGAUUUCUUCCAAAUUAAUGCCAACAUAUUGUUCAGCAACGGGGAGAUUCUGGGGCCUUGCUUGACCAGCCACAUUAGAUAAAUCUCAAUACAAUCUAUGCAUGCAUGCUUAGUUGUAACCAGAUUCUUACCAGGCCACUGAUGGCGUAAUUUCAUUUGAAGAUUACAAUAAAUGAUAUAAGAUUUAAGGAAUUCACAAAAGUCAUGUGAAAAUAAAAGGUGCUGGAUUUCCCUUUGAAGGAUAUGAAAUUACUUGAUGUUAGAAUUGAGGUUUUACAGUUAGUCAGAGGUUUACGAUCAGAUCUGUAUAAUGUGUUUUAGCAUCCUUUUGUUGUUUGGCAAGCAAUUCACGUGCGUAGUUUCCGGUGUUUGUUUCAUAUUUAGAAGCUUGUUUUGAGUUCGAUGUCUCUAUUUUUUUUGUCGAAGAGUUCGAUGUCUGUAUAUCAUGUAGAAAAGUGAUUCCUUUUUUCUUUUGGAUGUCUGACCUUGUAAACUUCCGAAUCUAUUUUUCCGUAUUCUUCUUAUUGUUCUUCUAUCCCUAUCUAAAGCUUUAUCCCCAAACUGUUUCUUCAUUUGGACAGACCUAUGUAACUGUUGGUAAUAGAUUUCUGAUUUGUCUUUAGAAUUGCAUCCUAAGUGGUGGUUACAAGUUACGACUUCCCUGAUUGACUUCGUAUGAACAAAGUCAUGCGGAGUUUAACGAUUUUUCGUAUUGUAUAAUGCUUCACGUGGAUGUAUUAGUAUACCGUCAUGCUUUGGUAUCAUUCUCUAGUGUCAUAUUCUAACUAAAAGUAAAUGAUGUGGCCAAUUGCAUACUAGACAUACCUCGGAAUUGCUGGAAUGACCUCCUUGCAGCUUACAGGGGAUGUGGAGGGAGAGUCCAUGUUAGAUACGUUGUUAGUGAUAUGCAUGCAGACUUCAUCCAGACUGAAUGUGACUGCUUAACCUUGGUUGCUUCCACCCUUCCACUUACACUUAGGUCAAUGUGAUUUCUCCCACUUACCAUCGAAUCGAAUUGAAAUUUUAAUGCUUUAUGCAUGGAUACUAGACAAAGGCAUAAACAGUGGCACUGAUGGAUUUGCUAUGCUCUUCACUUGAAAUUGGUGUGCGUGAUCUUCUAGCAAUAACUUAUGAACAAUUGGUAUUUGUGAAUAAUUUUUGAAUUGCAGAUGCUUGUCAUUUACUGAUAGAUAAUCAAAAGAAGGGUGACAUUUGAUAGUCUAUUUCCAAUUUGGAUGUCUAAUUAUCCAUCACGGAACUGUCAAGGGGCACUUGGCUGAUAACUUUCACAGUCCAAAGAUGGUCUGCGCUGAAAUGUCAGCUGCUUAGCCUCUCUCUCCAUCUGCUUCAUUAUGUUGUCCUCUUUGCCUGCAUGUUUAACGUACAAGCAGAGUACAAACAAGGGACUUUUAGAAAAGUUAACCCUUUCUUUAGCACAUUAAGGCCUUGUUUAAUUUGGUGGCAUAUUGGUUUGAUGUCCGUGUGUGUGUGUGUGUCUAUUCUGCACAUUUGUUUGAUGUCCGUGUGUGUGUGUAUUCUGCACAUUUGGUUAAACAGAGGUUUACGGUUAUCUACUUGGUUUAUAACCAUGAUAUUACAUUGUGAAUGUUUUGUACUGUGUGAUGUUGAUGCUGAAAUAUUAUGUGAUUGUUGGUUGCAGAGAAGAGGAGCAUAAACGGAAGGCUAAGGCUAAGGCUACUGGAUUUUGUAAAUUAUGGAGAUCUACUUUGGAAUGCUAUACUAUAGUUCACUGGCAUUUUGUAAAAUAUCCUGGAUGAAAGUUUAGUGAAUGAUGUUUUAAGAGUCAAUGCAAAGAUUGACUUGUCACAAGUAUCUUCUUAUGUACUUGUAUUUGUUGAAGUUGCAUGUAUUGGGCACUAUUCUUUUUCUUAUUUUGGGUGAUAGAGUUUAAAUCAAGUUACAUUUGCAAAUUAAACUCAACUAUUUAUAAAUAGUAUGUCCCAACUAUAGUAUGCCCCAAUUCUAUUAGCAGGUAAUAGAAACAAAACAAUUGUCCUCUUUUUUUAAGAUUCAUAAUAUACAUGGCAAAAAUAUGCUCCAAUUAACCCAUAUCAUGAGAUUUGUAGCAUUACUCUAUUACACAAUGGCAAAAAUUUGUAGUCCUACUCUAAGCAAACACAAAUCUGGUGAACAAUACUGUUUUUAUUAUCCUGCUUCUUAGUCCGACACUACACCAAACGCUUCACUAAGUUAGUCCAACUUAGUCUAGUCUAAGCCAGUCCAGCUUAGUCCCUGCAGCUAGUCCAGUCCGAGACAAUCCGGCGCAACAAACGCACCCUUACUGUCUUUUCUUCUGGAUCCAGAGAUAAACUUGUCUCUGUCAGAGAAUAGUGUGUUUCCUUUGUUUUUCUUCCUUUCUAAUUCAUUUUCCCUUAUUUAUACUAGCAACCGUAAAAAUUUAUAAGAAGAGAAAAUGUAAAAUGAUUUCUAUUUUUUUUUUAUGAUAUUCAAAUGAUUUUGCGUCGCUGAAUGAGACUGUUCAUAUAUUUGACUACUAGUUCUGAAUAAAUAUUUUUUUACUAAAAGUUUACAAGGUAACUGAUAUGGUUAUUUGGUUAUAAAACUUUCAGAAAAAAAAAAUAAAAGUAUUUUGUGUGUAAUUUACUAUAUUCUACGUAGCUUUUAAUUUAUUUAAGUUAAUUUGGUCAUCUCACUCUCUUUUAAUUGAUUAAGAGAAUUUCGUUGAUAGGUAGUUUAGAUUAUAAUAAAAUAAAAUAAUUACUAAAUAAAUAGUUUUUUUUUUAAUUAUAUGAUAUUAUGUACAUUAAGUGGUGGAGGGAAUAAGUACAAUGAGACAGUCAUAAUAAUUUGGUUCGAAUUCAUUUUGACGAGAAUCGAACUUAAGAUUUCUUAUUUAUGAGAUAUUUUUCAAUUUACUAGAAACACGUUGUAAUAAUACAAUUGGUCAGAAACACGUUGUAAUAAUAAUUUAUUAUGACACUUAAUGUAUCGAGUUAUGUUCAAUGUUCACAACACACUAAACAAAAUUUCCUCACUUACAAGUUAAAAAGGAAUACUAUUAAAUCAUAAUACUAAGUAACUAUUAAAUAACUAAUUUAUAUAUUUGAUUUGUAAAAGUUUAGGGGAAAGGAAAUCUAAUCCAUCAAGGUUAGGACAUAUCAUAAGUCUCCUUGAGAACUUACACAAGAAGUAUUAGUCUUUUUUUUUUGUUUUUACAUAUCGCGCAUCAAAAAUGGUUUGCAAUGGAACUCAAACAUAGACCUUACAACUCAACUAAUCCUUGUUGGAAAAUACACAUAUAUUUGAGCAAUCUUUUAAUUAAUUUAAACUAAAUUAUUGAGCCAAAACUCAAUGCAAUAAUAAGCACAUUGUUUUAAUCAAAUUAGCUAUAUAUACGAUAUAAAACGUCUAUUUAUAUCAUCGAUUCUAAGAUUUGAUAAAGAGAAUAUUUUCAAGAUGAGCAUAAACAUAGAACACGUACACACUGCUCUACGAAAUUAAUCAAGAACAAUUCCGCAAAAAAAUGGAAGAUAUGUGACUUUUAUUUAUUUCAUAGAUUCUAUGAAGGAUAAGAAAAUGUUGUCGGAGAAAAAGAAAGGUAAACGGGCGAUAAGAAGACGAAUACAACACAAUGAUACAAUUGGGGCUUCCAGAAAGUGCCCUUUUGAUAGCCACUAAGGCCAAAAACCCAUCACAAUAAUUGAAUUACCAUUGUCUUAUUAGAAAGUAAAACACAUUACUUUGGCGUUUUUUAAACUUGAAUGUGACAAAUAUGACAUAGACAAUAAGGAUGUGUGACUUAGAUAUCAGGUUGGAGGAAAAUGGACUGAAGUACAAAGGUUAAGGCAAAUAGAUAUGUGAGAGGUAUUGCACGAGUUCGAUGUCAAAUUAUUAUGACAUAUUUUAUCGCGAUUCUUAUAAGAGAUUUUUCAAUAUGCUGAAAACACAACUCGAUACAUCAAGUGUCAUCACACAAGUGAUUGGAUACUUGAAAAAAAUAAAAUUCAACCACUUGUAUGAUGAUACUUGAUGUACCACGUUGUAUUCUGGCACGCUGAAAAGUUGUCUGUCUCCUAGUUCAAAUCUACUGCUCUUUAUUUUAAAGGAAAAUUAAUGAAAAUUGCUUGAAAAAUUUGAGUUUUAACGAUAAGAACAAAAUAAAGGGUAAAGUUAAUAGUACUAGGAUUGACUUUUUAGUGUAAAAAUAUGAUUUUUCGUUAAAGUGAACAGUACCGGGAGCUUUUCGUUAAAGUUCCCUUAUUUUAAACACGUCUUUGGAUUCAUUAAAAGACAAAAAGACAUGCUAAUAUUUUGAUCCCAGUAUGCAAGAAUUAACCAUACCAUAUACUUAGAAAUACCAAGAAUCCCGCUGCAAAUCAACUGUAAGUCAAAUAUUACCAACGAAACAAAAGAAGGAAUUGCACAAUUCAUUUGGUGAUUAGGCGAACUAACAACAACAACAAAUAUAAAAAAUAACGAGUCAAUAAUUUAAACACUAAACUAAAUGAUCCUUACGAAGAUGUGGGUUGUUGAAGAGUUGGAUCAUCACUUUCCUUAACUAUAUCAAACAACAUACUCCAUAUGGCUCUUGCAAUCGUUGUUUUACCUAUACCGUCCAUACUUUAAAUUCCAAUUAUUUGAACAUCAGGUGAACCUCUAACAUCUAAGUAUUUAGUACUUAAUUCUUGCACGCGAAAAGCUAUUCCAACUGAGUGCUUGGCUUCUUUUAAGUUUGUGGUUUUCAGUAGUCUCCUAAUGUCUUCAACAAUUUUCUCGAUAAACAAUCAUUCAUGUCUCGCAGUUAAAAUUCAAAAUUAUACAAAAGUAAGAUUCAUCAUGCAACUGCAAGAUUUAUUUCAACUAAAUGCCUCAUUCAUCAUGAUUAGAUAUUUUGGUAGUGAAAAUGUUUUGAAUAAAUUAGAUUUGAUCGGGAUGAUUAGUUUAGUUCAAUUCAGCCGUGGUUCAGCCGUGUUUCCAAAAUGCAUUGUAACCAUAUUAGUUAAACUCAGUUAGAUUGCUCCUGAACUAUAAGAAGGUGUUUGUUUGCCCUCACUAAACCAUAUUAUAGCUUUUAGUCAUACAAAUAGAAAUCCAUUAGAAUUAGUAUAUGGGUUUGACAUACGAAGGAUUCGUCCUUCACGCAUUACCAAUGCUCAUCUCCUUAUUUUUGGUGGAUUAGUGAGUCUUAGAAGCUAAUACAAGACAUUGGAAUUAAAUUUAGAGGAAGAAUUAAAAUACCUGUCCGCCGUGGUUUUAAGAUUCCGGCCACACAAAUCUGCAGAAGCCUUAAGAUCCUUCUCCACUGCUCGACCUCAUCUGGAUCUUCAUCCCUUUCAUGCUAACAAAGUUAAAAGAAUAAGGUAAAGUGAGACACCUAAUAAAAGUUUAGGUGGUAAAGUGAACAAAUCAUCAUAUAGAGUAAAGUAGAAUUUUGUGUACAUAAGUGUCAUAGAAAUGCCUUUAGUAUUUUGUACAUAUAGAAAAUAAAUAGGGUUAAUUACAUCGAUGUUCCUUGAAUUUGUCAUUUAUCUUCAUUUUCGUUCUUAAACAUUUUAUUUGUUUUAUGUGAUCUUCAAACUCGCUAUCGCAUGACUUUUUUUAUAUAUCCUUUUCGUCGACUUCAUCUAUUUUUUUGUUAAGUAGAGAUGAUAAAUUUAAAAUUCAUCCCACAACCUGAAAAAUGGGAAAAUGGAGGUGGGUGUACAAAAUUCUUGCCAUGCCCUCUAUAUUUAACAGAAAAAUAAGUUUUUUUGGGUCAAAAAAUAGAUUUUGUUAGAUUAGCCACCGACAGAGUUUGAACUCACACUUUCGUACAAGAGUUUAACUUCUUUCCACCACUAUAGUAAAAGGCCACUUGCAACAAAAAAAUAAAUUGAGUUAACGGAUAUAAUUGAAUUACCACAUGAUAGAGUUUGAGAACCACAAUAAGAAAAAAAAAAAAAAAACUAUUCUAGAACGAAAGUAAAAUUCAUGACAACAAUGUUGUAUAUCUGAAAAAUAGUUCAAGCAGAUUAAGAUGUUAGCACAGAGUCAUUUAUCUAGUUUAUUGAACAAACAACGAGGACAUCAAUGCCGUUUUUUCUGUUUCGAAAUUCAUAAACAACAAAAUUGAGAUUUCUUUCACAAAAAUUACCAUAAAUUUUGACAAAAUUGACGGUUGAAUUAUAAAUCCAGCAGGCAAAUCGAAAACAAUCACAUGAGCUUAGAACACACCACAUCAACAUUUAGCAAG
rnacentral:lncRNA from 1 species